rnacentral:SRP_RNA from 1 species
GCGCAGUGGCGCGUGCAUUAGUCCCAGCUACUCAGGAGGCUGAGGUGGGUAGGAUUGCUUGAGCCCAGGAGUUCUGGGCUGUAGUGUGCUAUGCUGGUCAGGUGUCCACACUAAGUUCAGCAUCAAUAUGGUGACCUUCCGGGAGCGGAAAACCACCAGACUGUCUAAGGAGGGGUGAACCGGCCCAGGUCAGAAGUGGAGCAGGUCAAAACUCCCGUGCUGAUCAGUAGUGGGAUUGCGCCUGUGAAUAGUCACUGCACUCCAGCCUGGGCAACAUAUCGAGACCCUGUCUCUC